rnacentral:rRNA from 1 species
AUACGGAGGGUGCAAGCGUUAAUCGGAAUUACUGGGCGUAAAGCGCACGUAGGCGGUUUGGUCAGUCAGAUGUGAAAGCCCCGGGCUUAACCUGGGAACUGCAUUUGAUACUGCCUGACUAGAGUAUGGUAGAGGUAAGUGGAAUUCCGGGUGUAGCGGUGAAAUGCGUAGAUAUCCGGAGGAACAUCAGUGGCGAAGGCGGCUUACUGGACCAAUACUGACGCUGAGGUGCGAAAGCGUGGGGAGCAAACAGGAUUAGAUACCCCAGUAGUCC